UCGAGGAUCUUUCGCAAUGGGCGAAAGCCUGACGAAGCGACGCUGUGUGAGCGAUGAAGGCCUUCGGGUUGUAAAGCUCUUUCGCAUAAGAACAAGGAAGGUUGAUGAAUAAUCAGCUAACUUGAGGGUACUAUGUAAAGAAGCACCGGCUAACUCCGUGCCAGCAGCUGCGGUAAUACGGAGGGUGCAAGCAUUAAUCGGAUUUAUUGGGCGUAAAGGGCGCGUAGGCGGGUUUGUAAGUCAGAUGUGA
rnacentral:rRNA from 1 species